CCUUUAGGAGGGGGACAACAAUGAGAAAUUAUUGCUAAUACCCCAUAUGCUUUCGAGUGAAAUGGAUUUUUCCGCCUAGAGAGAAGCUUGCGGCUGAUUAGCUUGUUGGUGAGGUAAUGGCUUACCAAGGCGACGAUCAGUAUCUGGUUUGAGAGGACGAUCAGACACACUGGAACUGAGACACGGUCCAGACUCCUGCGGGAGGCAGCAGUGGGGAAUUUUCCGCAAUGGGCGAAAGCCUGACGGAGCAAUCUCGCGUGAGGGAUGACUGCCUAUGGGUUGUAAACCUCUUUUUUCAGGGAGGAAUAAAUGACGUGUACCUGAAGAAUAAGCAUCGGCUAACUCCGUGCCAGCAGCCGCGGUAAUACGGGGGAUGCAAGUGUUAUCCGGAAUCACUGGGCGUAAAGCGUCUGUAGGUGGUUUAAUAAGUCAACUGUUAAAUCUUGAAGCUCAACUUCAAAAUCGCAGUCGAAACUAUUAGACUAGAGUAUAGUAGGGGUAAAGGGAAUUUCCAGUGGAGCGGUGAAAUGCGUAGAGAUUGGAAAGAACACGAUGGCGAAGGCACUUUACUGGGGCUAUUACUGACACUCAGAGACGAAAGCUAGGGGUAGCAAAUGGGGAUUAGAUACCCCAGUAGUCCUAGCUGUAAACAAUGGAUACUAGAUGUUGAACAGAUCGACCUGUGCAGUGUCAAAGCUAACGCGUUUAAGUAUCCCCGCCUGGGAAGUAUGCUCGCAAGAGUGAAACUCAAAGGAAUU
rnacentral:rRNA from 1 species